rnacentral:rRNA from 1 species
AUUGAACGCUGGCGGCAGGCCUAACACAUGCAAGUCGAACGAGUGGCGGACGGGUGAGUAAUGUCUGGGACACUGCCCGAUGGAGGGGGAUAACUACUGGAAACAGUAGCUAAUACCGCAUACCAUCCGAUGCGCCCAGAUGGGAUUAGCUAGUAGGUAGGGUAACGGCUCACCUAGGCGACGAUACCUAGCGGGUCUGAGAGGAUGACCAGCCACACUGGAACUGAGACACGGUCCAGACUCCUAGGGGAGGCAGCAGUGGGGAAUAUUGCACAAUGGGCGCAAGCCUGAUGGAGACAUGCCGCGUGUAUGAAGAAGGCCUUCGGAUUGUAAAGUACUUUCAGCGGGGGGGCGUUACUCGCAGAAGAAGCACCGGCUAACUCCGUGCCAGCAGCCGCGGUAAUAC